GGACUGGGGGUUCGGAGCUGGGAUUCUAGGGCGAUGACAUGGUCCUACCUUCGCGUCGCCGGUGGGCCCGACCCUGUCGAGGGGCGCGGUUGGUUGGGGUCCCGCAGGUGCUCGGCGUUCCCGGGGACUGUGUGGCGCCUCAGGAGAGCUCGGAGCCGGCCGAGGCCUGCUCGGGGCCUAGUCGGAGAGAGCUCUGGGAGCGCCGGUCCCGGGGAAGCGCCAGGAGUCCAGCCAGAGGUCCUGAGCUGUGAUGGGAGAGGCCAGGACAGGGAAGGGGGCCGGAUUGGGUAUUCCGGGCUGGGUAUUGCUGGAUCGCUCCCCAGGCCCAAGGACAGCGUCAGUGGUCCCGAGCCCCACCCUCCACCCUCACGGCUUUCCGGUGAGUGUGGCGUCUGGCCCAGAAGCUGGGGAUUGCCGGCUCCCCCCGUCCAGCCCCCCACCCUGCACAGGCCCCAUCCUCCGCCUUCUCAGGAGUUCCACCACCUGCUGGCUUCUCUGACCCCUUACCCACGUCUAAAAAAGUCCUUCUUUCUCUUUGCGUCUUUCACCAGCCAGGACCCAGCUUUCCUCCCAGGUGAGGGAGGGGUGAGGAUGGUACCCAGUGGCCACCUGGACCCCCUGCUGUCAGUGGGGGACAGGCAAGCAGGUGUGCAGGGGUCAGGGGUCCCGAGCUUGCCCCGGAGGGAUGGAGAGACCCGAGGACAUUCAGUGAGCCGCCCCAUAGCAUUUGGGAGUUUGGCGCAGAGCUAGGGGAGCAGGUAUGGGUGGUACUUGGAGCCAUGUGGGGGACAGGGGGGUAGACAGAGCCGGAAACCUGCAGGGGAGGCCAAGGAGGGCUGGGGCUGCCCUCCUCCCCCAACUGACCCACAUGCCGAAUGCAGCCCAAUAAAGAAGGUACGGGGGGGGGGGGGUUAUAACCACGUGAACCAGGCCUAAAGUCAAGCAGGAAAAUAAUGGUUCGAGAAUAAAUAGUGCCGUACAUCUUAAAACUGAUGCAAAGUGAUACUGGGUGUGAGCUGUAAUUGAAAAAACAAAAAGAACGAACAGGCUGAAAGGACUUGGGUAGACAGGUAUCCAGGGAAGACUCGCAGACACCGAGCAGCACGUGGAAGCAGGCCCCACCUCCUUCGUCGGCAGCGAGACGCCCACCGAGGCCGCAGCGGGAGACCCCUCGGACCCCCAGGACGGCGGCUGUCAGGAAACGCAGGACAGCCGCGCUGGCGUGCCCUGCAGAAAAGGGAGCCUGGGCCCUGCUGGGGGGAUGGAAAUGGUGCGGCCACUGCGGAGAGCAGUAUGGAGCUUCUUCAAAAACACAAAAUAGAACUCCCGUGAGGUCCAG